rnacentral:rRNA from 1 species
CUGAUGCGUUGUUGGGUAGGGGAGCGUUCUGUAAGCCUGCGAAGGUGUGCUGUGAGGCAUGCUGGAGGUAUCAGAAGUGCGAAUGCUGACAUAAGUAACGAUAAAGCGGGUGAAAAGCCCGCUCGCCGGAAGACCAAGGGUUCCUGUCCAACGUUAAUCGGGGCAGGGUGAGUCGACCCCUAAGGCGAGGCCGAAAGGCGUAGUCGAUGGGAAACAGGUUAAUAUUCCUGUACUUGGUGUUACUGCGAAGGGGGGACGGAGAAGGCUAUGUUGGCCGGGCGACGGUUGUCCCGGUUUAAGCGUGUAGGCUGGUUUUCCAGGCAAAUCCGGAAAAUCAAGGCUGAGGCGUGAUGACGAGGCACUACGGUGCUGAAGCAACAAAUGCCCUGCUUCCAGGAAAAGCCUCUAAGCAUCAGGUAACAUCAAAUCGUACCCCAAACCGACACAGGUGGUCAGGUAGAGAAUACCAAGGCGCUUGAGAGAACUCGGGUGAAGGAACUAGGCAAAAUGGUGCCGUAACUUCGGGAGAAGGCACGCUGAUAUGUAGGUGAGGUCCCUCGCGGAUGGAGCUGAAAUCAGUCGAAGAUACCAGCUGGCUGCAACUGUUUAUUAAAAACACAGCACUGUGCAAACACGAAAGUGGACGUAUACGGUGUGACGCCUGCCCGGUGCCGGAAGGUUAAUUGAUGGGGUUAGCGCAAGCGAAGCUCUUGAUCGAAGCCCCGGUAAACGGCGGCCGUAACUAUAACGGUCCUAAGGUAGCGAAAUUCCUUGUCGGGUAAGUUCCGACCUGCACGAAUGGCGUAAUGAUGGCCAGGCUGUCUCCACCCGAGACUCAGUGAAAUUGAACUCGCUGUGAAGAUGCAGUGUACCCGCGGCAAGACGGAAAGACCCCGUGAACCUUUACUAUAGCUUGACACUGAACAUUGAGCCUUGAUGUGUAGGAUAGGUGGGAGGCUUAGAAGUGUGGACGCCAGUCUGCAUGGAGCCGACCUUGAAAUACCACCCUUUAAUGUUUGAUGUUCUAACGUUGACCCGUAAUCCGGGUUGCGGACAGUGUCUGGUGGGUAGUUUGACUGGGGCGGUCUCCUCCUAAAGAGUAACGGAGGAGCACGAAGGUUGGCUAAUCCUGGUCGGACAUCAGGAGGUUAGUGCAAUGGCAUAAGCCAGCUUGACUGCGAGCGUGACGGCGCGAGCAGGUGCGAAAGCAGGUCAUAGUGAUCCGGUGGUUCUGAAUGGAAGGGCCAUCGCUCAACGGAUAAAAGGUACUCCGGGGAUAACAGGCUGAUACCGCCCAAGAGUUCAUAUCGACGGCGGUGUUUGGCACCUCGAUGUCGGCUCAUCACAUCCUGGGGCUGAAGUAGGUCCCAAGGGUAUGGCUGUUCGCCAUUUAAAGUGGUACGCGAGCUGGGUUUAGAACGUCGUGAGACAGUUCGGUCCCUAUCUGCCGUGGGCGCUGGAGAACUGAGGGGGGCUGCUCCUAGUACGAGAGGACCGGAGUGGACGCAUCACUGGUGUUCGGGUUGUCAUGCCAAUGGCACUGCCCGGUAGCUAAAUGCGGAAGAGAUAAGUGCUGAAAGCAUCUAAGCACGAAACUUGCCCCGAGAUGAGUUCUCCCUGACUCCUUGAGAGUCCUGAAGGAACGUUGAAGACGACGACGUUGAUAGGCCGGGUGUGUAAGCGCAGCGAUGCGUUGAGCUAACCGGUACUAAUGAACCGUGAGGCUUAACCUUACAACGCCGAAGGUGUUU